rnacentral:rRNA from 1 species
GACGAACGCUGGCGGCGUGCUUAACACAUGCAAGUCGAACGGAAAGGCCCUGCUUUUGUGGGGUGCUCGAGUGGCGAACGGGUGAGUAACACGUGAGUAACCUGCCCUUGACUUUGGGAUAACUUCAGGAAACUGGGGCUAAUACCGGAUAGGAGCUCCUGCUGCAUGGUGGGGGUUGGAAAGUUUCGGCGGUUGGGGAUGGACUCGCGGCUUAUCAGCUUGUUUGUGGGGUAGUGGCUUACCAAGGCUUUGACGGGUAGCCGGCCUGAGAGGGUUACCGGCCACAUUGGGACUGCGAUAAGGCCCAGAAUCCUACGGGAGGCAGCAGUGGGGAAUAUUGCACAAUGGGCGGAAGCCUGAUGCAGCAACGCCGCGUGCGGGAUGACGGCCUUCGGGUUGUAAACCGCUUUCGCCUGUGACGAAGCGUGAGUGACGGUAAUGGGUAAAGAAGCACCGGCUAACUACGUG